CACGUUUACUUCGGAUUCAUCACAAAAUCAGGCAGAAAAAAGGAAGACUGCUGGCUGGCACCAUCCUUGACCCAGACUGAGCUGGCUAACCAGGCAGUGCCUCCUCACUAGGGACUGAAGCCUAUUCUUGUGGCAGGAAGAUGACCAAGGCCAGGUAUUGUCGUCGUGUAACACAGAGGGAGCUGGGUGAGUUACAGAAGUGACCUCAGCGACUGCCCACGAGCGACUUCAGGUCAGGUCAGUUUUAGUUCCUGCUUCCUGCUUUGCUGGCAAAUCUGAUGCUGAUGAUGUCAGUCCAAUGCAGUCCAGCUUUCUAAGAAAGGCACAGUCAGGUAUCAGUGGCAAUGCUGAAGGCAGUACAGAUGGUUUGGUAUUGCUGGAGUGAACUAUUAUAUCCUUUUAUUCUCCCUGUUUGUGUGUUUUAUCUUUUAAUGAUGUAUAUUUCUUAAUCUACCUUGUGUUUUUGUAUUUAGUCUAAAUGUACUCAUUUACGCCAAUCAAUACAAUAUUAAAUACCUUUUCUUAGUCACCGGGAUAACUCAAAUGAUUUAAUAUGGCCCAAUUGUUUUCCAAAAAUGUGCAUUCUGGAAGGCAAUUUUCAAAUAAUUUAUAAAUUUAUAUUACUUUCAUUUUAGAGAUAUUUUCCCUUCCUGGAAACACCAAACUAUCACAUGGAGUGUGGCUAUGAUGUGACUGUCCAUUCAGUCAAACAAAUAUUCGGGAGCAAACGCCAAAAAAAAGACUCAUUACUGCAGUUCAUCUAGUUACGUGUCUGUGAAACAGCUAGUUACAUGUUGUUGUUUCUUGUUUUCUUUAUGAAAAAUGUUUUGUUAAAUGGCUCAUACCGUAGUCUUCCUCCUUCUUCCUCCAAGGAUAUGUAUUGUCCUCCCUGACUCUGUCCUGUACACCAAUGAUUGUAAGAGUUAUCACCACUCAAAACACAUAAUUAAAUUUCCAGACGACUCUGUUAUUGUAAGUUUGCAGCAAGCAGAUGAGGGUGGCCAUAGGCCAAUUGUAGAUGAGACAUGGCGAAUAAUUUCAAGAACCCUAAAGUCCCCAAUCAAACCUGCAUCACUGGACAAUCAAUGGAGAUGUUUGGCAAAUAUAAGUAUUCAGUGAUUGUUCUGGACUAGAACUUUUUAGAGGCAACAGGAUAUGUUUUUCUUAAGAAAACUUCAGCAUUUUUAGGUUUGUUAUUUGUUGUUGAUCAAGUUUUAGCAGACUUUCAUUGAAUCUGCUUUAACUUUUGCCCUGAUCUGCUGGUUUGGGAAUAUGAAUCUGAGCAGUAAGAACAAACUGUGGAGCAUUGUCAAACUAUUUCAGAAAGUCAUUGGUGUUGAUCUUUUGACCCUACCCCAAGUCUAUGAGUUAUGAGUCUUCCAUAAAGUAUAUUCCGCCAUAGAUGACCCUUCACACCCUAUCUUUAAUGAACUACUCCAUGAUACCCAGAUACAGACAUCCCAGUUUAAACAGGUCCAGGUUCUCUUUAAUACCUAUGACCAUAGCCUUGCUCAACAGUUGAUUUUCUUGCUCAUGUUUAUGUGUAUUGUUUGUGUGUUUUUUCUUUCUAUGGUCUGCUGCUGUAAUACAAAUUGCCCCUUGGGGACAAUGAGGUCUGUCAUAGGGGUAUACUCCAUACUGUGGUUUGGUCCUACAGAAAAUGACAUUGUUGCAUGAACAUAAGAAGAAUUACAAACAAGAGACGGCCAUUCAACUCAUCUAGAAUGAAUUCCAUUCAUCUGUGAAUUCAUUUGCUACUUAUGACCCCCAAACGACCUAUAUCAAUAGAACAGUAUUUCAGUUACUUCAGGAAAUCGCUGCAGUUUGGAGUCUUGGGUUUGUGUUAAGGCAUGACUUUGAGCAGUUUCUCUCUUGUUCUUUAAAGAUAAUGAAAAUAAAGAUUAUCAAGAACGGUGCACCCAUGUAAGCUUUGAAAAGGAAUUUUAGAAGUGCCUUGUUUGUACAGGUUUUAACACAGCGCACCCUUAAGGAAUUAGUAAAAUAAUAUGAAGUGUGGUGAACUGCUGAUUGAUUGAACUUUGCAAAAAAAAACUUUUGUUCUAUAUUAAUGAAAUUGCAACUUAGAAAUGCUCAUAUUUUCGUAAGCAGAUUUUUGAAAUUCGUUUUCCAAAAAAUACCAAUGCCAAAUACUUCUUUAAAAUCACAGAAUGUGAUACCAGUACCACACGUUAUACUGUAUAUUCUCCUGGAGAUAGGAAAAAAUGGGAUUGACCCCAGUGGUCGUUUGCAAUUAAUGUACUUCAUCCUCUCGUGCUUGUACUUGAAUAAUUAAAAAUAGAACAGCUUAAAAUAGACACAAAGAGAGCACUCCAUUCGUGUUGCUUUAAACUGAACUAUGAGAGAACCAAAGUUUUCUUCCUGUUGAUUCAAGAUUCAAGACUUAUUAUUGUGUAUUCUGCAGUGAGUCAGUUCCUAGUGUCCAUGUGAUGUCGUAGCUGUGGUCUUUAAAACAUACUGAUGAUUUGGUUAUUUUCUAAUACUGCAGUCAGUUUGCAAUAAAACAUCUAUUAACAUCCUCAAAACAUGUGAUGUUAAAAUGAGAAGUACUGUACAUUGUGGAAAAAUGAUGCAUGUUUUCUUCCAGAG